UAGCUGCGCUGUGCGCUGCGCAGUUCAUGAGUUCACAUCAAAAUGGCGCUCGCUCACUCGCUGUGCGUAGAACGUAGUACUUGUGUAAACGUGUAAAUAAAUUGGAGAUAGCAUACAAGAAAACAGAAAGGGUUCGCGGUUCACCUUUUUUGUAACGGUUUCCUCGGCGUCCUUUACAAAGUCCAGUUGAUAUCGUGUCCUGUCCACGUCCAGGGUGGAUCAGACCUGAUCUACAAAAUCUUGGAGCAGCCGCUUUCGUCGUAUGCCAUUAAAAAAAUUAAAACAUGCCCGUUAUUAAAAUUUGGUCAGUAGACCAAACAAUCAAGAAAGCUGUUCCAAUAAUGGACCCAACUUUAAAAAAUAUCAUUGAAAAAGGUGAGUAAAUCUAAAUUAAUUUGACUUUUCGUAAUGAAAUAUUUUUUGUGUAAUUGUAGAAUGUAGUGUAUUGUAGAAUAGACUAUAAUUGGAUACCUACUGUUAAGCAUUAAUGUGCUGACUCAAACCACAUUUAUUUUGCAGUAUGAUGUCAAUUUAAAAAUUUGACGCUUGAAGUUGACAAGAUAGAGCUGAUGCUGAACCCUGGCUGUACCUAGUGGAACUCAGGUUUGGUGCAACAUAGGCCCACGCUAUUUUGAUCAUCCGUCACAUAGAGGGAGAGCAAUACCCAAGAUAUAAUUCAUAAUCCAUUUUCUUCCAGAUGAGGUACCAUCCUAAAUAUAGUAGUUCCAUUUACUAAUCUUAUUAACUUUUUCUUUUCCAGGAACCAUUAACCAGGGUUCAAGUUGCAGAGCUAUCCGAAAUAGCUGCGCCUAACAUUGUAUUUUUAGAUAAUGAAAAUAUAAUUAUAUUACUUGCUGGUAGAAAAAACGAUUGUUAGCGAAACAGAUUCUGCCUACGUCGUUACAACUAUUGAUGGCGGCUUACUGCAACUUGAAUAUGGAAUAUCCAGUGGACUGUCAAAACACAUUAGAAUUUAUACAAAGGUAUAUUUUUAUUAAAAUAAAUCCUAAAGAAGGAAGUCAUAAGUAAUAGUUUUUGAUUUUAAAAAAGCGUUUUUCAAUUAAAAGACAUGUCAAGAUCGCUUAACUUCUUGCAAGUUCUUUCUAAUGCUAAAAAAACUAACUAUAAUUAAUGUCAGUAACAAAUAUUUUCAGACAAUUCGUUACUUGAAAUGGUAUAGGUUUCACGCAUUAGAUUCACAUAGGCCUUAUUAACCGAAACUUUUAUAAGACUAAUUCAUAAGAAGUACUUAUGUACAUAAGAUAUAAUUUAUAGUGUCGUAUAUGUCUUCUACUUUUUGUACUCUGUCACAGAAUAAAUAAUAAUAAUAUGCACGUAGACGUGUAUAUACGCGUGUGCUCUAUAAUUUGAGUGUGUGAAAUUCAAUAAAUUUAUUUCUUUGUAA